UACGGGGGGGGCAAGCGUUGUUCGGAAUUACUGGGCGUAAAGGGCUCGUAGGUGGCCAACUAAGUCAGACGUGAAAUCCCUCGGCUUAACCGGGGAACUGCGUCUGAUACUGGAUGGCUUGAGAUUGGGAGAGGGACGCGGAAUUCCAGGUGUAGCGGUGAAAUGCGCAGAUAUCAGGAAGAACACCCGUGGCGAAGGCGGUUCUCUGGGACGGUACUGACGCUGAGACGCGAAAGCGUGGGGAGCGAACAGG
rnacentral:rRNA from 1 species